rnacentral:rRNA from 1 species
UACGUAGGGUGCGAGCGUUGUCCGGAAUUAUUGGGCGUAAAGAGCUUGUAGGCGGUCUGUCGCGUCUGCUGUGAAAAUCCGGGGCUCAACCCCGGACUUGCAGUGGGUACGGGCAGACUAGAGUGUGGUAGGGGAGACUGGAAUUCCUGGUGUAGCGGUGAAAUGCGCAGAUAUCAGGAGGAACACCGGUGGCGAAGGCGGAUCUCUGGGCCAU